ensembl:lncRNA
GCAGUUAAUAAUGCAUAAUGAAGAAAAUUACGCAACCAGAUAUAACUAACGAAAAAGAAUAUAAAGAAGAAUGUAUAUUUACUUCAAUUGAUAUUUUUAGUGGACCUCAUAAUUUUUUGAAUUUAUAUUAUGUAUGUGAAAUAGUUUUUAAUGAUUUCAAUUUUGUGUCACCUUAUCAUUGUUAUUUUUUUUUACGAAAUAAAUAUGAACACUUAGAAAAGGUUAAAGCAAAUUUUAUACAAAACACAAGUUCUUCUACUGUUUCUAAUUAUGAUCAUAUAAAUAUAAUACAAGAAAGAAAAGCUAUUAAACUAUUCCAAAAUGAAAAUGUAUUUUAUUAUGAUGACAAUGAUUUAACUACUUCGAGAAGAGCAAUUUGCGAAAGCCUGAUUGAUGUAAUAAAUUUAUUAACUAUUAAUGAUUUAAUGGUUAUUUCUCCUUAUUUUAAUGAGAACCCUGUGUGGAACACAAAUAAAUUAAGGUGGGUAGACUCUAUGCAAAGAGAUAAAUUUCGGAAGUAUGAAAAACUGCGUGAAAGCCUAAAACAAACAGGAAAACGUGAAAUAAUAUAUAAAGUUAAUGUUGAGGAUAUUGAAAAAGUAUAUAAUAAAAAUAUGAUUAAUGAUUUAUAUUUUUUUGGUGUUUAUAAUAGAAAAGGGCAAAACCAAUUAGGUCGAAUUUAUAUGAACAUACGAAAUGAUAUUUUAAAUAAUACAGAAAUAUAUUCUUGGUUAUUAUUAAAUUGUAAUAUGCAAACAGAUAAAAAUUUAAUCGCAAAUGUUUUGAUAACAGAAACAUACUUUGAAAAAAAGUUCAUAUAUGAGGAUGAAGAUGGUGACGGUGACAAUAACACCAACCAGGUUAUUAAUACUUCUAAACAAAUGAUAAAAGGGUCAUCAUUAAAUAACACAAAUUUACAAACAGACAAUAAUUAUAAAUUAGAAGAAAAAACAAAAGAUUAUUCUUUUAUUGCAAAAGAAUAUAUAUCAUUUGGUAAAAAUGACAUGAAUGAUAUAAUUUGUUUGAACCCAUCCAUUUCUAGAUUCCAUUGUAUAUUAUAUUUUGCAAAAAAUUAUUUUCUUUAUUUAAUAGAUGUAGGAUCUAAAUCAAGAACCAAAUUAAAUGGAAACGUGUGCAAAAUAAAUGAAAAAUAUAAAAUCAUGAGUAAUGAUAUUAUUACCUUAGGUGUAUCUAAACGAACAUAUAAAAUUAACAUAAACAUUAAUAAUGUUUUAUCUUAUCUUAAAAAUAAAAAAAUCGAAAUAAAUAAAAAAAUGAAUACAAUAAGUAAAGAAAUACAACAUCCAUUAGAAACAAAUAAAUCACUUAAACUUAAAAUAAGUAAUAUAUAUUAUAAGUGUAAUGAUAAUGAUAUAGUAGAUUAUUUUAAAGACUGUGGUGAAAUUAAAAAAAUAUUUAUGUAUAACAUUCCAUCUAAGAAAAAAAUAAACUCAAGUUCCAACAAGGGAGAUGAAAAUCAUACGGAGAAUAUAGACACACGUAAUAAUAAAAUUAGUUCUGAUGAUUUUAAAAAAGAAAUGGUUAUAGGCAAGGAACACGUGGGGAUGGGUCAAAGUCAGGACCGAUAGUGGAAACAGAAAGAGGGUCACCAUCAAGGUCAAAAUCAAGACCAACAUCAAGGCCACAAUCAAGACCAACAUCAAGGCCAAAAUCAAGACUAACAUCAAGGCCAAAAUCAAGACUAACAUCAAGGCCAAAAUCAAGACCAAAAUCAAGGGUAAUAUCAAGACCACAAUCAAAACCAACAUCAAAACCAGUAGCAAAUAUUGAAGUUACGUGUAAAAGUAAAAAAUACUUUGGAGAAAAAAUAAUAGUACCAGAUAGUAAUUAUAAUAAUAGAACAAGUCAAGCAUCACAUUAUUAUAAAGAAAAGCAUAACAAGAAGUUACAAAGAAAAAGUAUUGAAAGUGAAAAUGAUAGUAAAAGACAUUUAAAAAAACAUAAAAUGGAAAUAUAUAGAAAAAGAAAAAGGAGUUUACUAAAAUGGGAAAAUAGGUCACGAGAAAGGUGUUGGAGCAGAGAAAGAAGUAUGACCAAAAGUGUAAGUGGGAGCAGAGUUAGGAUUAGAAAAAAAAAUAUGCGCAAAAGUGACAGUAGAAGUUGUAGUAGCGAUAGCAGAAGUAGUAGUAGCGGUACUAGUAGAAGUAGUAACAGAAGUAGUAGCAGUAGU